rnacentral:rRNA from 1 species
UACGGAGGGUGCGAGCGUUAAUCGGAAUGACUGGGCGUAAAGGGCAUGUAGGCGGAUGAUUAAGUUAGGUGUGAAAGCCUCGGGCUCAACCUGAGAAUAGCAUUUAAAACUGGUCAUCUGGAGUACUGUAGAGGGAGGUAGAAUUCCACGUGUAGCGGUGAAAUGCGUAGAGAUGUGGAGGAAUACCGGUGGCGAAGGCGGCCUUCUGGACAGAUACUGACGCUGAGAUGCGAAAGCGUGGGGAGCAAACAGG